UUAUCAAUUGGGUUUAGAAGGAUGAGUCACCAUUUCAGAAAACAAAAAGGAACACGUGCGAUUCUCUCCUCUAGCUUCAAUUCCUCCCAUUCCCAUAAUCAUCAAAGUCAUUCCAUCUCUUUUUUGUUCUCUUUGUGUUCUCCACUUGAGAGACUAACCAUCUCUUCACCCGCCCGAAAAUUCAAAACGAACAAAUUGUACCCACCCCUGCAAUAGCCUCCGAGACGAUUGCUAGAAAUCUUUUGGAUUGUGUGAUUGGAUUCCUGAUAGUUUGGGUCGAUGUUAGCGAUUGGAAUUGGGUUUGCUGGCUGUUCCCGUCUAUUGCCUAUCUAGCUGCUGGAAACCAAAAGAGGCCCAGGAUUAAUUAAGAAGGGAUUGUGACUCCCUAGGGUGAAGAGACCCAAAACCUGAUCAGGAUCUGCUUGUACGGGGUGUGCUCGGUGGCCAAGGCGAGCAAAUGGCUGUAACCGGUGAUAUAAGGAUUUCAAGAAUUUCACUUGCAAUUUGAAUUCGGAGAUUUUGAAAUAUUCUUACUGGAUUUACUACAGAGAAUUGGAAGGGUCUUUCUAAUAUAUGAACUCAGCUCCUAAAGAAAAACGACUCAGGGUCUUAUUGCUGUUUAGUUGGUUUUUAAACAAGUUAUCUUUACAGGGAAAUUGUUUGUCUAUGAGCAAAUUUGGUUUCAGCUCAUGUUUCUCUAUUUAUCAUAUCUUCAUUGAAUUAUUUUUAGAUGAGUUAUAUAUCUUAUAUGAGCUAAACGUGAUGCUUAUUACUGAUUGUUCAUGUCACUGUUUUAUGUUCCUUUGGUUUCCAGUAGUAACCUUCAAAUUGAUUCCCUCUUGUUUCCUUCUCAUAUAUUCUAAUAUUCCUUCAUAUUCCAAGUUAGAAAUAUUUAUUUUUCCCUACUGAGCUUGUAAGCUCAUCUCCUAUGUCUU